AUUGAACGCUGGCGGCAUGCCUUACACAUGCAAGUCGAACGGCAGCACGGGAGCAAUCCUGGUGGCGAGUGGCGAACGGGUGAGUAAUAUAUCGGAACGUGCCCAGUCGUGGGGGAUAACGUAGCGAAAGCUACGCUAAUACCGCAUACGAUCUAUGGAUGAAAGCGGGGGAUCGCAAGACCUCGCGCGAUUGGAGCGGCCGAUAUCAGAUUAGGUUGUUGGUGGGGUAAAAGCCCACCAAGCCGACGAUCUGUAGCUGGUCUGAGAGGACGACCAGCCACACUGGGACUGAGACACGGCCCAGACUCCUACGGGAGGCAGCAGUGGGGAAUUUUGGACAAUGGGCGCAAGCCUGAUCCAGCCAUGCCGCGUGAGUGAAGAAGGCCUGGUGUAAGCUCUUCGUGGAGAAUGCUGUAUACUGAGUAGAUG
rnacentral:rRNA from 1 species